rnacentral:rRNA from 1 species
GACGAACGCUGGCGGCGUGCUUAACACAUGCAAGUCGAACGGUGAAGCGCCUUCCUUUUUGGUGGGUGUGGAUGAGUGGCGAACGGGUGAGUAACACGUGAGUAACCUGCCCCCUUCUUCUGGAUAACCGCAUGAAAGUGUGGCUAAUACGGGAUAUUCUGGGUCUGUCGCAUGAUGGGUCUGGGAAAGAUAUUGUUUCGGUGGGGGAUGGGCUCGCGGCCUAUCAGCUUGUUGGUGGGGUGAUGGCCUACCAAGGCGGUGACGGGUAGCCGGCCUGAGAGGGUGGACGGUCACACUGGGAAUGAGACACGGCACAGACUACUACGGGAGGCAGCAGUGGGGAAUAUUGCACAAUGGGAGCAAGCCUGAUGCAGCGACGCCGCGUGAGGGAUGGAGGCCUUCGGGUUGUGAACCUCUUUCGCCAGUGAAGCAGGCCUGCCUCGUUUGUGGGUGGGUUGACGGUAGCUGGAUAAGAAGCGCCGGCUAACUACGUG